rnacentral:rRNA from 1 species
UACGUAGGGGGCAAGCGUUGUCCGGAUUUAUUGGGCGUAAAGAGCGUGUAGGCGGCCAGGUAGGUCUGCUGUGAAAACUCGAGGCUCAACCUCGAGAUGUCGGCGGAAACCAUCUGGCUAGAGUCCGGAAGAGGAGAAUGGAAUUCCCGGUGUAGCGGUGAAAUGCGUAGAUAUCUGGAGGAAUACCGGUGGCGAAGGCGGCAUCCUGGACCGGCAUUGACGCUGAUGAGCGAAAGCUAGGGGAGCAAACGGG